GACGAACGCUGGCGGCGUGCUUAACACAUGCAAGUCGUACGGUAAGGCCCUUUCGGGGGUACACGAGUGGCGAACGGGUGAGUAACACGUGAGUAAACAGCCCACAACACUGGGAUAAGGCUAGGAAAGUGGUGCAAAUAAUGGAAAUAUGCUAUACCUGCAUGGUGGGGGUGGGAAAGCUCCUGCGGUUGUGGGUGGACGCGCGGGCUAAUGGCUUGUUGGGGGGAUGGUGGCCUACCAGGGCGACGACGGGUAGAUGCCCAGUGAGGGUGAGCGGCCGCAUUGGGUCUGAGAUACGGCCCAGGUGCCGACGAGAGGCAGAUGUGGGGAAGAUUGCACAAGGGGCGCAAGCCUGAUGCAGCAACGCCGCGUGCGGGAUGACGGCCUUCGGGUUGUAAACCGCUUUCAGCAGGGACGAAGCUUUUUGUGACGGUACCUGCAGAAGAAGCACCGGCUAACUACGUG
rnacentral:rRNA from 1 species